GCCUGCCUAGCUCAAUCGGAUAGAGCGUGAGACUUUUAAGCGCCGGCAUCUCAAGGCUGCGGGUUCGACCCCCGCGGUGGGCU
rfam:Phlebiopsis gigantea 11061_1 CR5-6 unplaced genomic scaffold PHLGIscaffold_26, whole genome shotgun sequence.